rnacentral:rRNA from 1 species
GCAGCGGAAGCGAGUGGCCAUGCCGCAGACCGCAUAGUUCGCCUGCCCGGGCAGCCGGCCGUGGACUUCGACAUGUACUCCGGGUACAUCACGGUGAACGAGAGCGCCGGACGGUCGCUGUUUUAUCUGCUGCAAGAGGCGCCCGAGGAGGCCCAGCCAGCGCCGCUCGUGCUGUGGCUCAACGGCGGGCCCGGCUGCUCCUCCGUCGCGUUCGGCGCGUCGGAGGAGCUCGGCGCAUUCCUCGUCAAGCCGCGCGGCGCCGGCCUCGUCUUGAACGAGUAUCGCUGGAACAAAGUGGCUAACGUCCUGUUCUUGGACUCGCCGGCCGGCGUCGGGUUCUCCUACACCAACACCUCCUCCGACAUCUACACCUCCGGCGACAACAGAACGGCUCAUGACUCGUACACCUUUCUGGCGAAAUUGUUCGAGAGGUUCCCGCACUACAAGUACCUUGACUUCUACAUCGCCGGCGAGAGCUACGCAGGGCACUACGUCCCGGAGCUGUCCCAGCUGGUUCACUGGAGAAACAAAGGCAUCGAGAACCCCGUCAUCAACUUCAAAGGCUUCAUGGUCGGGAACGGCCUGAUCGACGAUUACCACGACUACCUGGGCACGUUCGAGUCCUGGUGGAACCACGGGAUCAUCUCCGACAACACCUACCGCCGCCUCAAGGCCUCCUGCCUGAACGACUCCUUCAUCCGCCCUUCGCCGGCGUGCGAUGCCGCGGUGGACGUCGCCACGGCGGAGCAGGACAACAUCGACAUGUACAGCCUCUACACGCCCGUCUGCAACAUCACGUCGUCGUCGUCGAGCCGGCGGCGGCCCCGGGGGCGCUACGUGAGCAUCCUGGACCCAGAUUCCCCGUGGAUGACCGGAUCGUACGACCCGUGCACGGCGGGAUGCUCCACGGCGUACUACAACCGGCGGGACGUGCAGAGGGCUCUCCACGCCAACGUCACCGGCGCCAUGGACUACACGUGGGCGACCUGCAGUCACACCAUUAAUACCCACUGGCAUGAUACUCCGAGAUCCAUGCUUCCUAUUUACAAGGAGCUUAUUGCAGCUGGCCUAAGGAUAUGGGUCUUCAGUGGCGACACGGACGCGGUAGUCCCCUUGGCAGCAACAAGACACUCCAUCGGCGCUUUGGGUCUUCCAACUACUACCAGUUGGUAUCCUUGGUAUGACGACCAGGAGGUCGGCGGUUGGAGCCAGGUAUACAAGGGCCUUACACUGGUGUCCAUCAGAGGUGCAGGCCAUGAGGUUCCUCUGCACCGCCUGCGGCAAGCGCUCGUACUGUUUCAGCAAUUCCUGCAGGGCAAGCCCAUGCCAGGCUAG